rnacentral:rRNA from 1 species
AUGCCCGUAUCUGAACAUUUUGACGAUAUUUACGCGACGGAACCAGUCCUUACGAGCGUUGAAAAUGUUGAAGAAUACAAUGCAGGCAUCAUACCCGUAGCUGAUAAUGUUGACGAUACUUCCACAACAGAACUAGAUGGUUCUAAAUUGCUACGUAUUGAUGAUGCUCAUGAUUCUUCGUUGUCCGCUCUGAGUAAUAUAACACUGAAUUUUGGCACACCUGUAGCGCAACAUGGAAAUGGGCAAGAACCUUUGAAAUUCAGGAUGCUUGAGUCUUUUGAAAACAAUAAGGAUAAUACGACUAACCUACAGGAUGAAAAUGAAGAGGACACAACUUGCGAGCAGAAGGCAACGGGAUCUGUAUUUUUUGAACGGAAGAAAUCCGCUGAUCAAGCUAGGGAACAGUUCAAUGCACAGAAGCGCGCAGCUUAUCGGAAGAAAAAAUAUGAGGAUAUGGUCAGGUUACAAAAGGAGAAUCAACCUUCCCUUCCAAAGACUGACCAUAGGGAUCUUAUCAACGCGUGGAGGCGGGCAUCUUAUCGCACAAACAAGUCAGAUUGUUUAAAAAAACAUCAAGAAGAUGGGCAUAAUGUUCAUCGCCGUUCUCUAUGUGAUAUCACCAACGUGAAACAACCUUCAUAUGUGAUUCCAGGAGAUGAACUGAUGGGACAAUGCAACAAAAACGGGUCGGAUCAUAUGCUUGGGCAGCUAAACAAGCACACACGAGAUGAUCUAUGUCCCCUUCGUAUUUCAAGUAGCUCGGACUAA